AGGGUUUGAUCAUGGCUCAGGAUCAACGCUGGCGGCGCGCCUAACACAUGCAAGUCGCACGAGAAAGUCCCGUUUCAGCGGGGCAAGUAAAGUGGCGGACGGGUGAGUAACACGUGGAUAACCUGCCCUGUGGUGGGGAAUAACCCCGGGAAACUGGGGCUAAUACCGCAUACGUUCCCUGGGAUGCAAAUUCCGGGGAGGAAAGCCUUCGGGUGCCGCAGGAGGGGUCCGCGGCCGAUUAGCUUGUUGGUAGGGUAACGGCCUACCAAGGCGGCGAUCGGUAGCCGGCCUGAGAGGGUGUACGGCCACACUGGCACUGAGACACGGGCCAGACUCCUACGGGAGGCAGCAGUGGGGAAUCUUGGACAAUGGGCGAAAGCCUGAUCCAGCGACGCCGCGUGACUGAUGAAGCCCCUCGGGGUGUAAAGGUCUUUCGGCGGGGACAAUGAUGAUGGUACCCGCAGAAGCAGCUGCGGCUAACUACGUGCCAGCAGCCGCGGUAAUACGUAGGCAGCGAGCGUUGUUCGGAAUUACUGGGCGUAAAGCGAGUGUAGGCUGUUUGCCAAGUCUGCUGUGAAAUCUCCCGGCUCAACUGGGAGGGUGCAGCGGAAACUGGCAGGCUAGAGUGCGGAAGAGGGGAGUGGAAUUCCUGGUGUAGCGGUGAAAUGCGUAGAUAUCAGGAGGAACACCGGCGGUGAAGACGGCUCCCUGGAACGCCACUGACGCUGAGACUCGAAAGCGUGGGGAGCAAACAGGAUUAGAUACCCUGGUAGUCCACGCCCUAAACGAUGCAUACUUGGUGU
rnacentral:rRNA from 1 species